rnacentral:rRNA from 1 species
GGUGAACGCUGGCGGCGUGCCUAAGACAUGCAAGUCGAGCGGGGCAGGUUUAUACCUGUUCAGCGGCGGACGGGUGAGUAACGCGUGGGUGACCUACCCGGAAGAGGCGGACAACCUGGGGAAACCCAGGCUAAUCCGCCAUGUGGUCCUGUCCUGUGGGGCAGGACUAAAGGGUGGAUAGCCCGCUUCCGGAUGGGCCCGCGUCCCAUCAGCUAGUUGGUGGGGUAAAGGCCCACCAAGGCGACGACGGGUAGCCGGUCUGAGAGGAUGGCCGGCCACAGGGGGACUGGGACACGGGCCCCAAUCCUACGGGGGGCAGCCGUUAGGGAUCCUCCGGAAUGGGCGCAAGCCUGGCGGGGCGACGCCGCUUGGAGGGGGAAGGCCUGCGGGGUGUAAACUCCUGAACUGGGGGCGAAAGCCCCGUGUAGGGGGAUGACGGUACCCAGGUAAUAGCGCCGGCCAACUCCGUG